UCAAAUGUUUUAUAGGGUUCCGCAGUUUUAGUACAACUGGUCUGGUCCAAGAUAAAACACACAGCUUGUGCUGUGACCACGGAGGGAUAAAAGCCUGGGAGAU
rnacentral:sRNA from 2 species